GCAUUGGUGAUUCAGUGGUAGAAUUCUCACCUACAAUGUAGGAGACCCGGAUUCGAUUCCUGGCCAAUGCA
rnacentral:tRNA from 1 species